GGGCCCGUGGCUCAGCAUGGACAGAGCACCGGCCUUCUAAGCCGGGGAUCGCGGGUUCAAGUCCCGCCGGGUCCG
rnacentral:tRNA from 1 species